GGUUAGGACUUCACCGUAUCUUUUGGGGAGGACACAGUUCAAGUCAUAAUGACAUUAGUAUAAUUUUUGAUGACUAGAGGACAUUUUGGUCACCUAACUUUAUAGCUAUAUAUUCUUUAACUCUAUGUGUAUUUGUGUGUGUUUUAGUUUAUAUAGGCUGUUUUCCCAAAUACCCUAGGCUGGGUAACUUGUAAACAACAGAAAUUGGCCAGGCAUGGUGGUUCACACCUGUAAUCCCAGUGAUUCACACCUGUAACCCCAGUGAUUUGGGUGGCCAAGGUAGGCAGGUGGCUUGAGCCCAGGAGUUCAAGACCAGUCUGGGCAACAUGGAAAAA
rnacentral:lncRNA from 10 species